GGAGAGGUGGCCGAGUGGCUGAAGGCAACGGUUUGCUAAACCGUCGUAGGUGUCAAAACCUACCGCGAGUUCGAAUCUCGCCCUCUCCG
rnacentral:tRNA from 3 species